rnacentral:rRNA from 1 species
GAUCAUGGCUCAGAUUGAACGCUGGCGGCAUGCCUUACACAUGCAAGUCGAACGGCAGCGGGCCUUCGGGGUGCCGGCGAGUGGCGAACGGGUGAGUAAUGCAUCGGAACGUGCCAUUGAGUGGGGGAUAACGUAGCGAAAGUUGCGCUAAUACCGCAUAUUCUGUGAGCAGGAAAGCAGGGGACCGCAAGGCCUUGCGCUCUUUGAGCGGCCGAUGUCAGAUUAGCUAGUUGGUGAGGUAAAGGCUUACCAAGGCGACGAUCUGUAGCGGGGUCUGAGAGGAUGAUCCGCCACACUGGAACUGAGACACGGUCCAGACUCCUACGGGAGGCAGCAGUGGGGAAUUUUGGACAAUGGGGGCAACCCUGAUCCAGCCAUGCCGCGUGAGUGAAGAAGGCCUUCGGGUUGUAAAGCUCUUUCGGCCGGGAAGAAAUCGCAUGGGUGAAUACCCUGUGUGGAUGACGGUACCGGAACAAGAAGCACCGGCUAACUACGUG